rnacentral:rRNA from 1 species
GAUGAACGCUGGCGGCGUGCUUAACACAUGCAAGUCGAACGGUGAAGGCGGAGCUUGCUCUGCUGGAUCAGUGGCGAACGGGUGAGUAACACGUGAGCAAUCUGCCCCUGACUCUGGGAUAAGCGCUGGAAACGGCGUCUAAUACUGGAUACGAGCUGCGAAGGCAUCUUCAGCAGCUGGAAAGAAUUUCGGUCAGGGAUGAGCUCGCGGCCUAUCAGCUUGUUGGUGAGGUAAUGGCUCACCAAGGCGUCGACGGGUAGCCGGCCUGAGAGGGUGACCGGCCACACUGGGACUGAGACACGGCCCAGACUCCUACGGGAGGCAGCAGUGGGGAAUAUUGCACAAUGGGCGAAAGCCUGAUGCAGCAACGCCGCGUGAGGGACGACGGCCUUCUGGUUGUAAACCUCUUUUAGCAGGGAAGAAGCGAAAGUGACGGUACCUGCAGAAAAAGCGCCGGCUAACUACGUG